CUCACGGACCUCGAGAUCAUGACCUGAGCCGAAGUCGGCCGCUUAACCGACUGAGCCACCCAGGCGCCCCAGGAUGUCGUGUAUUUAAAGGCUGCCGGGCGAUUGUGAAGAUCAGCUGGCUUCAUAAGGCAGUGACCUGUCCGAAGGCAUCGCGGAACGGGACACUGGAAGACCACGGGACUGGGCAGCAUCCGGUCGGAGGAGGCCACUGCCACGUUGGCAGGAAACACGGACCGUAAAGAGCCCCGGGCAGAUCCUCACGCUCCUGUCGGUCUCUGUGCGAGUGUAGGCAGAGCCCACCGGUCACGCACUCCGGCGCAAGCAGAAGACCUGUCUCCCAACCGGUGCUUUUACGAAUAGGAGCAAGUCACAAGAGCAAGGUGAGUGCGUUCCUUUGUCUGUAAAAUGGAGCGUCCACGGUAGGCCUUCCAUCCUCCCAGCCCAGUUGAGAGGAUUCAGCGGACCCACUCGAAGCCUGUGCCCUAUGAGUGGUCUCUGCGAGAACUGCCCGCUUCAUCCCAGUUCCCCCCCAGCACUGAGACCGGCGGGAACUGGGCUGGUUGACUGUUAACCUCUCUCAACCCGCCGUGGAAGCAGGACCUGGAGGGUCUGCUGCCGCGAUGGGCCAGAGGGCCCGCGAGGAGACAGACUCCCGGCUUUCGGUCCAGGUGGAAACUUCUGGAAUUCCUCCUUUCCACACGGCCAGCUGCAUGGCCCAGUGCUUUCCUGUUUUCUCUCAGGAAACAGGGGCCGCACAUGACAGCCCCAGGUCAGCAUGUGCCUGCGUGCUGGCUAGCCAGUGAGACUGGAGCCAGUUUCCAGGGACUGAGGUCUCUGAAAUCUGUUACAUUCUCUUCAUCCCCUUCCCCAUCACCUAACCCAAGGUACCUUCGAGGGACCGUUAAUGCCCUCUGCAGAUGUGUUCUCCUCAUAGCAGCCAGAGGGGUCCUCUUAUGACAUAACUUAGGUCAUGUCAUUAGUUUUGACUGGCUUCCCAUUCUCACUGGAUUAGAUCUAAACUGGCGUGUAAGGAAUACCCUGGAAUGGCUUCUCAUUCUCUUUGCCUGAACCCCACACUUCUCCUUGUUUACAUGGCCCUGUACAAACUGGCUUCCACGUCUCAUCUCACUCCAGGCUACCUACCCUUACUCGCCUUGCGAGGCAGAAACAUCGCUAUGUGUCUUCCCAAGCUGUUUAUUGCCUUCCUGUGCACAUGGCCAGACACCGUCCCCCCCUCCUCACGGUAAGGCGGGGCCGUAUCUUGGAGUUCUUGUCAAUGGAAUAUGAGUGCAAGUGAGAUGCAUCACCUCUGGUCUUGGCCCCCAAAGCUUUUUCUUUUUGCCAUUGACUGCAUGCAGAGGCUAUAAUGGGCCACUCCAAGGAGAGCUCGGAGGAUGGCAGGGAGCUUGGGUUUUGAGCAACCGAGCAAAAGACCUCCAACCAAACACCCGACUGGUUCUGAGGAGAAAAAGGGAUACACUAAUAUUGUCUGAAAUCACUGAGAUUUGGGCUUGGGUGCUCUAAUGGCCCGACUCAUCGCCUGUUCUCUGUUCCUGGAAUAUGUUAAGGUACUUUGUGCUUCUCCGAGGCUGUGUCCUCUGCUUGCAAUGCUUUUCCUGACCAUUCUUCACAUGCUUGCGUCUUUAGCUGCUAGGUCUAAAACUCACCACCAGCUCUUAGCCUUCAUCUGUGUUCUUGUCUUAUUAUUUUUUUUUAUAGAACUUUUUACAACUUGUGUGUUGUUUUUCUUAACUUUGGUUUUCAUUGUGCUCCCCACUAGAAUAUGAGCCUCCAAGGGCAUGAAUCAAGUCUGUCUCACCCCCCAGCAUAUAUCCCGUGCCAAACAAAGUGUCCGACAAAAAGUAGGCAGUUAACAACUAUUAGCUGAUGGAUUGAAUGAAUGAAUGAAUGAACCAAUUAUGUGUGAUUCAGCUCAGUUCAUUUCGAAUAUUUCCGGGGCACCAACUUUGUGCAAGGCACUUUACACACAUAUAAUGCAUUCUGUACUCAAUUCUCAUUAAAAUCCUAGUGGGGAGGUAAGAUCAUUAUCCCCACUUUACGUAAAGACAUCAAGAGGCAUUGGCAGCAACCAUAACCCAGGUCCUUCACAAUGGCAUUCUCCAGCCACCAUCCUAUCUCUGAAAGCCUCAUUAGAAAUCCCCACAGAAUAUCUGGAACGUGGGUGGAAAUGAAGACUGGAUUUCUCCAGAGUCCCAUGAGCUCGGUUUGCAACGGGAUUUCAUUUUAAACGCAGGACCCUCUCUCUCCCAUGGCGCCUGGGAUGAGGGGGCGCCAUUUUGUAUCCUGGGAACACAGCUCCCGUGACCUUGUGUGAGCCAGGCUGGCCUGGCCACCACCGAUAAGCUGGAGGCAUGAGUGCCCAGGUUCAUCUGGGGAGAGCAGCCGGAGCUGUUGAUAGGCAGAGAAAAUCUGUGAUUAAUUAUGGCAGAUGAAAGUAUGAAGUAAUGAAUCCUUCUUGAGGGCUGGGCGAGCUGAAGGGCCUCGCUCUCUGGAUGCAUGUGGAGACUGCACGGCCCCUUCUGAAACCAGCAGUAAACUUUAAUGGCUGCAAGUUCUGUGACUUGGCGGGCUGCGGAUUGGAUGGCACAUAGAACUCAUGAAUUCUCUGGGGUGGGAGCUAAUUAGGGUGCAAUUUUUCAAUUACGGAACACUGAGCGAGCCUCUCCCCAGACCCCCCCCCACCAUCCCUCAAUGGAUACACUCCAUUUGUCUGUUUUCCUUUAUUUCUUAAUCAUUUGAUGAUAUGACAGCAAUUAUUUGUCAUUUGGAAGAGAAAAUCGUCACGGAGCUAUUGUUUCCCUCCUGAAGCCCCAGCUCUUCUGUGGAGAUGGUUACAUUUGAUAAAUGGUCUGCGUUCCCGCCGCUCCUCCCCCAACCCCCACCCGGGGUUGGUGUGGCAACAGGAAAACAUUAGCCUGUGACGCGCCUGCUCUGAUUGAAACGCCAUUUGUAGAAAGGCCUGGAAAAGAGCAGGAUCCAGUUGAAAAGAGCCGCAGCCCCGAGCUCUAGGCCCACCCACGUCACCCAGGUUGAGGCUGUGGGACAUUUGCUUUGGGAAAUUUGGUCACUUCUCUGAGCUAAUAAGCCCAGCGUCAGGAUCAGGAAUGCAAAGCAGAAAUGGAGCAAAAAAGAAAAAAAAAAAAAAAAAAAAAGGCAAAGAAGAAAGCAGCACUCCGCCAGAAAUGGGAACACUUAAAUGACUUUGUUUAAAUGUCAUGGUACUCUCAAAACCCUGUUCUCAUAUGUAUGCAAGUUAAUUAAAUGGAAAAAUGUCAAAUUA